AACGCGAAGAACCUUACCAGGGUUUGACAUCUUGGGAAUCUUUCUGAAAGGAAAGAGUGCCUUCGGGAAUCCAAUGACAGGUGUUGCAUGGCCGUCGUCAGCUCGUGUCGUGAGAUGUUUGGUUAAGUCCAUCAACGAGCGCAACCCUUAUAGUUAGUUGAAUUUUUCUAGCUAGACUGCCCCGGUAACGGGGAGGAAGGAGGGGAUGAUGUCAGGUCAGUAUUACCCUUACACCCUGGGCUACAAACACGCUACAAUGGCCGGUACAGAGCGCAGCCAACCCGCGAGGGGGAGCAAAUCGCAUCAAAGCCGGUCUCAGUUCGGAUAGCAGGCUGAAACUCGCCUGCUUGAAGCUGGAAUCGCUAGUAACGGUAGGUCAGCACACUACCGUGAAUACGUUCCCGGGCCUUGUACACACCGAGUAUA
rnacentral:rRNA from 1 species